ensembl:snRNA U6 U6 spliceosomal RNA
GGGCUCACUUCAGCAGCAUAUAUACUAAAAUUGGAUACAGAGGUUAGCAUGGCCCCUGUGCAAGAAUGACAUACUAAUUCGUGAAGAUAAUUGGAUUUAU